GAUGAACGCUGGCGGCGUGCCUAAUACAUGCAAGUCGAGCGAACAGACGAGGAGCUUGCUCCUCUGACGUUAGCGGCGGACGGGUGAGUAACACGUGGAUAACCUACCUAUAAGACUGGGAUCACUUCGGGAAACCGGAGCUAAUACCGGAUAAUAUAUUGAACCGCAUGGUUCAAUAGUGAAAGACGGCUUUGCUGUCACUUAUAGAUGGAUCCGCGCCGCAUUAGCUAGUUGGUAAGGUAACGGCUUACCAAGGCAACGAUGCGUAGCCGACCUGAUAGGGUGAUCGGCCACACUGGAACUGAGACACGGUCCAGACUCCUACGGGAGGCAGCAGUAGGGAAUCUUCCGCAAUGGGCGAAAGCUUGACGGAGCAACGCCGCGUGAGUGAUGAAGGUCUUCGGAUCGUAAAACUCUGUUAUUAGGUAAGAACAAAUGUGUAAGUAACUAUGCACGUCUUGACGGUACCUAAUCAGAAAGCCACGGCUAACUACGUG
rnacentral:rRNA from 1 species